CCUUGACAUACUAAGAACUUUCCAGAGAUGGAUUGGUGCCUUCGGGAACUUAGAUACAGGUGCUGCAUGGCUGUCGUCAGCUCGUGUCGUGAGAUGUUGGGUUAAGUCCCGCAACGAGCGCAACCCUUUUCCUUAUUUGCCAGCGGGUUAAGCCGGGAACUUUAAGGAUACUGCCAGUGACAAACUGGAGGAAGGCGGGGACGACGUCAAGUCAUCAUGGCCCUUACGGCCAGGGCUACACACGUGCUACAAUGGUCGGUACAAAGGGUUGCUACCUCGCGAGAGGAUGCUAAUCUCAAAAAGCCGAUCGUAGUCCGGAUCGCAGUCUGCAACUCGACUGCGUGAAGUCGGAAUCGCUAGUAAUCGCGGAUCAGAAUGCCGCGGUGAAUACGUUCCCGGGCCUUGUACACACCGCCCGUCACACCAUGGGAGUUUGUUGCACCAGAAGUAGGUAGUCUAACCGCAAGGAGGACGCUUACCACGGUGUGGCCGAUGACUGGGGUGAAGUCGUAACAAGGUAGGCGUAGAUGA
rnacentral:rRNA from 1 species